CGGACGAACGCUGGCGGCGUGCCUAACACAUGCAAGUCGUGCGGUCUCGCCUUAAGCGAAAGGCCUUCGGGCUUUGAAGCAAAGGCGAGAUAGCGGCGGACGGGUGAGUAACGCGUGGCUUAUCUGUCCCAGGGAGGGGGAUAACGUCUGGAAACGGGCGCUAAUACCCCAUAUGCCGAAAGGUAAAAAGGAGAGAUCCGCCCUGGGGUGAGGCCGCGUCCUAUCAGCUCGUUGGUGAGGUAACGGCCCACCAAGGCUAUGACGGGUAGCCGGCCUGAGAGGGCGGCUGGCCACACUGGGAUUGAGAUACGGCCCAGACUCCUACGGGAGGCAGCAGUGGGGAAUAUUGGGCAAUGGGGGAAACCCUGACCCAGCGACGCCGCGUGGAGGAAGGAGCCCUUCGGGGUGUAAACUCCUGUUGUAAGGGAAGAAGACAGUGACGGUACCUUACGAGGAAGCCCCGGCAAACUACGUG
rnacentral:rRNA from 1 species